rnacentral:rRNA from 1 species
UACGGAGGGGGCUAGCGUUGUUCGGAAUUACUGGGCGUAAAGCGCACGUAGGCGGCUUUGUAAGUUAGAGGUGAAAGCCCAGGGCUUAACCCUGGAAUUGCCUUUAAGACUGCAUCGCUAGAAUCGUGGAGAGGUAAGUGGAAUUCCGAGUGUAGAGGUGAAAUUCGUAGAUAUUCGGAAGAACCACCAGUGGCGAAGGGCGACUUA